GUGAACGCUGGCGGUAGGCCUAACACAUGCAAGUCGAACGGCAGCACUGAGGAGCUUGCUCCUUGGGUGGCGAGUGGCGGACGGGUGAGGAAUACAUCGGAAUCUACUCUUUCGUGGGGGAUAACGUAGGGAAACUUACGCUAAUACCGCAUACGACCUUCGGGUGAAAGCAGGGGAUCGCGAGACCUUGCGCGAUUGAAUGAGCCGAUGUCGGAUUAGCUAGUUGGCGGGGUAAAGGCCCACCAAGGAGACGAUCCGUAGCUGGUCUGAGAGGAUGAUCAGCCACACUGGAACUGAGACACGGUCCAGACUCCUACGGGAGGCAGCAGUGGGGAAUAUUGAACAAUGGGCGCAAGCCUGAUCCAGCCAUACCGCGUGGGUGAAGAAGGCCUUCGGGUUGUAAAGCCCUUUUGUUGGGAAAGAAAAGCACACGGUUAAUACCCGAGUGUUCUGACGGUACCCAAAGAAUAAGCACUGGCUAACUUCGUGCCAGCAGCCGCCGUAACAC
rnacentral:rRNA from 1 species